rnacentral:rRNA from 1 species
AUUGAACGCUGGCGGCAUGCCUUACACAUGCAAGUCGAACGGUAACAGGUCUUCGGAUGCUGACGAGUGGCGAACGGGUGGGUAAUACAUCGGAACGUGCCCGAGAGUGGGGGAUAACGAGGCGAAAGCUUUGCUAAUACCGCAUACGAUCUCAGGAUGAAAGCAGGGGACCGCAAGGCCUUGCGCUCACGGAGCGGCCGAUGGCAGAUUAGGUAGUUGGUGGGAUAAAAGCUUACCAAGCCGACGAUCUGUAGCUGGUCUGAGAGGACGACCAGCCACACUGGGACUGAGACACGGCCCAGACUCCUACGGGAGACAGCAGUGGGGAAUUUUGGACAAUGGGCGCAAGCCUGAUCCAGCCAUGCCGCGUGCAGGAUGAAGGCCUUCGGGUUGUAAACUGCUUUUGUACGGAACGAAAAGACUCCUUCUAAUAAAGGGGGUUCAUGACGGUACCGUAAGAAUAAGCACCGGCUAACUACGUGCCAGCCGCCGCCGUAAGAC